rnacentral:rRNA from 1 species
CCCUUAGAUGUCCUGGGCCGCACGCGUGCUACACUGACGCCUACAGCGAGUACUUCCCAGCCCCGAGAGGUGGCUGGUAAUCAGCAAUAGGCGUCGUGAUGGGGAUAGAUCUUUGGAAUUAUGGAUCUUGAACGAGGAAUGCCUAGUAAGCGCAGGUCAUUAGCCUGCGCUGAUUAAGUCCCUGCCCUUUGUACACACCGCCCGUCGCUCCUACCGAUUUCGAGUGGUCCGGUGAAUCUUUCGGACUGCGCGCGGCCUCGUGCCGUGUCGCGGAAAGUCAGGUAAACCUUAUCACUUAGAGGAAGGUGAAGUCGUANCA